UGCAGUCAGUCACUUGGCAUGAG
rnacentral:misc_RNA from 1 species